rnacentral:tRNA from 1 species
CGGGGUGUAGUAUAGUGGCAGUACGCGGGGUUCGGGACUCCGUAGUCUGGGUUCGAUUCCCAGCACCCCGACCA